AUAUUACUCCCUCCGUCCGGAAUUACUUGUCGAAGAAAUUGAUAAAAAUGGAUGCAUCUAGAACUAACAUAUGUCUAGAUACAUCCAUUUCCCCGACAAAUAUUUCCGGACGGAGGGAGUAUUUA
rnacentral:pre_miRNA from 1 species